rnacentral:snRNA from 1 species
GUCCCUUCGGAGACAUCUGAUAAAAUUGGAACGAUAUAGAUAAGAUUAGCAUGGCCCCUGUGCAAGGAUGAUAUGCAUAAAUCAAGAAAUGGUCCAAAUUAUU